AGCGAACGUUAGCGGCGGGCCUAACACAUGCAAGUCGAACGAGAAAAUCCCUUCGGGGGUGAGUACAGUGGCGCACGGGUGAGGAACGCGUAGGUAAUCUACCCUCUGGCGGGGGACAACACUCCGAAAGGAAUGCUAAUACCGCGUAAGACCACACUUACUAAGGUGAGAGUGGUGAAAGGUGCCUCAAAGCACCACCAGAGGAUGAGCCUGCGUCCCAUCAGCUUGUUGGUAAGGUAACGGCUUACCAAGGCGAAGACGGGUAGCUGGUCUGAGAGGAUGAUCAGCCACACUGGUACUGGAACACGGACCAGACUCCUACGGGAGGCAGCAGUGAGGAAUAUUGGGCAAUGGGCGAAAGCCUGACCCAGCCACGCCGCGUGUGUGAUGAAGGCCUUCGGGUCGUAAAGCACUGUGGGGAGAGACGAAACAGCGCAGUAGGAAAUGACUGCGCCUUGACGGUACCUCCUUAGCAAGCACCGGCUAACUCUGUG
rnacentral:rRNA from 1 species